rnacentral:rRNA from 1 species
AUACGGAGGGUGCAAGCGUUACUCGGAAUCACUGGGCGUAAAGCGCGCGCAGGCGGCUUGAUAAGUUGGAUGUGAAAGCCUACGGCUCAACCGUAGAACUGCAUCCAAAACUGUCAGGCUAGAGUGUGGGAGAGGAAGAUGGAAUUAGUUGUGUAGGGGUAAAAUCCGUAGAGAUAACUAGGAAUACCAAAAGCGAAGGCAAUCUUCUGGAACAGUACUGACGCUGAGGCGCGAAAGCGUGGGGAGCAAACAGGAUUAGAAACCCCGGUAGUCC